rnacentral:rRNA from 1 species
GGAUUAGAUACCCUGGUAGUCCAUGCCGUAAACGUUGGGCGCUAGGUGUGGGCCGCAUUCCACGUGGUCUGUGCCGCAGCUAACGCAUUAAGCGCCCCGCCUGGGGAGUACGGCCGCAAGGCUAAAACUCAAAGGAAUUGACGGGCCCCGCACAAGCGGCGGAGCAUGCGGAUUAAUUCGAUGCAACGCGAAGAACCUUACCAAGGCUUGACAUGCAGGGAAAUCCUCCAGAGAUGGUGGGUCCGCAAGGGUCCUGCGCAGGUGGUGCAUGGUUGUCGUCAGCUCGUGCCG